ensembl:lncRNA
CACCAAUCACCGCUGAGCCCGCGUUUUCUUCCUUAUAUGGGAGCCGGCCCGGGCUAUAAAACCCUUCCCCACCCCUCAUACCUCGCAGACUCCCUUUACUUCGCAGAUCCCCUUCGCUUCCUUGCUCACCCGCCCCCCCAGGAGUUCUCCCCGAGAGCCACCGACCAAUAAAAGGCCCUGAUCAAUGGUCCAUAGGGGUGGCUCUUUCUUCCUGCGGCUUUCUUACAUAAGCGUCUUUUAAUUUCAUGGCUGCAGUCAACAUCUGCAGUCAUUUUGGAGCCCAAAAAAUAAAGUCUGACACUGUUUCCGCUGUUUCCCCAUCUAUUUCCCAUGAAGUGAUGGGACCGGAUACCAUGAUCUUCGUUUUCUGAAUGUUGAGCUUUAAGCCAACUUUUUCACUCUCCUCGUUUACUGUCAUCAAGAGGCUCUUUAGCUCCUCUUCACUUUCUGCCAUAAGGGUGGUGUCAUCUGCAUAUCUGAGGUUAUUGAUAUUUCUCCUGGUCGUGUCCAGCUCUUUGUGACCCCAUGAAUCGCAGCACGCCAGGCCUCCCUGUCCAUCACCAACUCCUGGAGUUCACUCAGACUCACGUCCAUCGAGUCGGUGAUGUUAGUCAUUAUCAGAUCUGUAAUGUUUGUUAUUUAAAUCACUUAUAUAUGUUAAUAGUAAUGGUAAUUGAAUCCCAAAUAAUUAUUUAAACUCUUAGGGAAUUACUGAUUGAACAGAACAAACUGCACAUAUGAUGAGUGAUUAAUAAGACUUUCAAACAUAAAAAUUAUUACAUGCAGGGCUAACGAAAUGAGAUGAUAUGAGUUCAAGGAGGGAAAACAAGGUUGUGAAAUUUUUAUUUUCAAAUGGAUCAUGGUUGGAUGUCAGAUCACAGUGGUGUUUGGAUUCUACUGAACAGACUUAAGAGAGGUGUUACAGAUAUAUGUAGAAUGUAGUAUUUAAAAUGUGCCAGAAAUCAUAUUCUUCACAGCCAUCUGACUUGUGAAAGAUUUUAGAUGUCCACUUUAAAAUGUAUGAGGGGUCAGGUAAGUCCCCUUCUUGGUUCGUAAACGGCCAUCUUUUCUCUGAAUCGUCUUGUGGCAGGAGGAUCAAGGGAAUGCUCUGGAUUUCCUCAUGAGGAUUCUGAUUCCAUUCAUGAGGGCUCCACCUUUACAAUCUAAGUCCUUCCCAAAGACUCUGCUUCCAGAUGUCAACACACUGGGCAUUAGAAUUUAACAUGUAAAUUCUGGAGGGAUGUGAACAUACAGUCUGUAUGUCAGUUAUACAGUAGAAUUUUAGUUUUCUGUUGCUGCUGUAAUAAAUUACCACAAACUUACUGUUUUAAACAGCGAAUAUUGAUUAUCUUAUACUUGUGUAAGUCAUAAGUCCAACCCAGGUGUCACCAGACUAAAAUCAAGCUGUCUGAGGGGCUGCAUUCUUCUGGAGGCUCUAGAGGAGAAUCCUGUUCUUUGCUUUGUUCAGCUUCUAUAGGCCAAUCACAAUCCUUGGCUUGGACCCUCCUCCUCCAUCAUCAUCAAAGCCAGUAAGGGCUCAUCCCUCUGACCCUCUGUCUUCUCUUUCUCUCUCUGGCUACAGCUGGGAAAGACUGCUUUUAGGGACUCAUUUGAUUAGAUUGAGCCUGAAAGAAUAAUUUCCCCAUCUCAAGCUUUGUAUUCUUAAUCACAUCUGCAAAGUCCCUUUUGUCAUGCAAGGUAGUAUUUUGUGUUCCAAGGAUUAAACUGUUGAUGUGUUUCAGGACCAUUAUUCUGCUGUCACAGUUGGUUAGAUACAUAACUUUAAUUUUAUCUAUUUAUUUUGAUAAAUGUGAGGACUGCAAUAGUGGUUAAGUGGUAAGACUUUGGACUCCUACCGUGUAUUAACAUUGUGAUGUUAGGCAAAUUAUUUGCCUUUGAACCUGGAAAAAGGGGGAUAAUAGUGUGUACUAAAAUAUAUUGAAAUACAAAUAAUAGUUUAAGGCUACAGACUAGAGUCAAGAGACUUUUACCUAUUUUUUUUGACUGUCUCAACUAAGCAAAUUUGUGACCUCCUAACUCAAAACAUUGUUGUGAGGCUCAAGUAACUCAUGAAUAUAGAAUUGCUAUGAGAUGUAUAAAAAAUACAAAAUUUUGCUGGUAUUAAUUUUGGAAUGCUUAAUUUUUGUUUGGUCAGUGCUGGGAGUGUUUAAUAUGUUCUUUGAUCCCUGUAUAGCAAAUUUUUUUAGUGUUCUUUCCCAUAUUUUCAGAGUUAACUUGUCUCCUUUUUAUUAAGUAAUGAUAAAUGAAAAGAUACAUGAGAAUUAAAAGCACAUUAACUUGCAUGACUUCUUUUAGUCACUGAGACUUAAAACUCAAAUUUAUCUAGGUUAUUUGAAUUAAUUUUAAAUUAUUUUCUCUUUAAAACUUAGGAGUUAAUUACUAUCUCUGUUACAGAAGCAAAAUAAAUGCUUAUAUUAGUAAAACUAAUUGUUCUUAAAAUCUGAGCUACAUUCCUUAAUCUUGGAUGUGAGUGUAUUAGUCAAUCUGACUCCACCAGGCUCCUGUGUCCAUGUGGUUUCCCAGGCAAGAACGUCGGAGUGGGUAGCCAUUCCUUUCUUUCUCCAGGGCAUCUUCCCAACCCAGGGAUCAAACUCGGGUCUUCUGCAUUGCGGGUGGAUUCUUUAUCAUAUGAGCCACCAGGGAAUCCUGGGGAAGUAGACGUUCAAAUCAUAGAAAUGAAGUCUUCAUUUAUAAUUGGGUUAUCUAUGUACAAUGUUUGAUAUAAAAAUAUCACUGUAUAUUAGGCAAAAAUCAUUUUUUAAAAGUGAUUUGAUUUCUUAAUUUUUUCCCUUACAUUGUAAUAGUGAAUAGAUGUUUUCCCCCUAAGUAGCACAAAGAUGCCAUUUUGAGAGGUUAAAUUACUUUCUAAAUGUUGCUGUGAAGGAGGAGAGAAGGAAGAGAGAUCAGGUUACACAUUCCUUGUUGCAGAGCCUUCCACUGCACUUCCAGUUUGGAGCCACAGCGGCAAGGUUAGAAGAUGCAUCUGCCACGAUAUUUUCAACCCUACCCCCACUUAGGGAGCCAGAGACUUAGACAUUUUCCCUGGCAGGGCCCCCAAAGAGAACCAUUUUAACUUAAAUGUUUGUAGAAAUUGCUACUUGACUUUUUUCUUUUAAAGCCUUUUAUAUAGUUUAGCUUUCAGGUUUGCCUGAAAAUUACUCAUUUGUAUAUUCAAACAUAUUAAAAAUGGUAUUUUUCUGAUAGGCCUGCAAGUUAUAUUUUAAUAUUGAUUGAAGUUAAACAGAAAUUUAACUCAAAUUAAUAUGUAGUCGAAUUUAGAAAGUAUUUUACAUUUUAUUUUGAGAGAGGGAAAAAAAAAGCUUUCCUGGCAUAAAAUGGCAUGAAUUGAACUGAUCUUGUGUUUUACAAAUAUGGUGGGAAGAAGUUAUUUUAUUUUCUUGCUGCUCUUAGAUAAAUGAAGACUAAAAAUAUUUUUCACAUUAAAAAAUCUCAUAAAAUCCCCAGUGUCAUAGUCUGAAUGCUGAUUUAACGGUUUUAUGUUGUAAUGUUUCCGGUUCUGAGCUUUAGUUAGUAUAUGUAUAUACUUCUUUUAACCUUUAAGGAAUCAUUUUUAAAAAUUGGUUAUUAAAAUUUAUAUAUAGUAUAUAUCAUAAAUGCAUGUUUAUAUAUAACUGGUUCCAUUUCUGAAGGUUUAAGAAACAAGCACUAUUUGUAAACUACUUAUGCCUCUGUUAAACAGUAUCAGUCCGUUAAAUGUUGUUUUUUCCUUAUCUAGGUCAUUUUAAGUAUUAAUCAUCAAUCUGCUUAGUACUCAUCAGAAAAAGUCGCUAUUACUAGCAGUCAGAUUAUCUCAUAGAAAUACAGUGUCAUUUAUAUCAGUCUUUUUAGUAUUUGGGGAGUAGGUGUUGUAUUUUCUAAACAAGACUUACUGUCCCCUCACACUUUCUCCAGAAAAGGAAAGACAUAGCUGGGUAAAACUUUGUGACUGGGCAUUGGGGGUUACCCUGCUGUGCCCUGCUGAUACAGGUUUUGCUCUUGCUAGCUCGUGAUUCCAGCUCUAGUUUGUUUACGUGUUUUUGCUCAACGAUGAGAUGUCAGGUUGGCUCGAGACUCCGUGGCCCUCACUCUCUCGUCUUACCUUUGCCUCUCUGUUAAUCCCCUCCCUUUCUCUUCAUAGCUAAUAAAUCUAAUAAAUCUAAUUAAUCCAAGCCUUCUUGGUAGGCUCAGCCUAAAUCUUACCUUUUCUGUGAAGGUUAAUUUCAUCUGGGCUCUUGAUCAUGUCUUGCUUUUCUGUGGUUCUGUAGGGCUUUGGGCUUUCCAAGGUGGCUGAGUGGUAAAGAAUCCGCCUGCCAGUGCAAGAGUCAGUCGCAAGAGAUGUGAGUUCGAUCUAUGGGUCAGCAAGAUCCCCUGUAGAACGACAUGGCAACCUGUUCCAGUAUUCUUGCCUGGGAAAUCCCAUGGUCAGGCUAUAGUCCAUAAAAUCACAGUCCGAUACAGGUUAGCAACAAUAUAAAGCUUUUAAUGCCGAUUUAUACUAUUAUGUUUCUUCCUAAAGCAUUUGUUCUCUGUCUCGGAUUUAAAAUAAUUACACUGGCUACCACUUGUAUUUCUACUGUAUGCUGUGCCAUUAGUGUUAAUCUCAAAAUCAGCCUGGUAAGCAUGGCCUGCUUACAUGAGGAAAGUGAGCAGUUUGCCGGUGCUGCAAGCUCGUUGCUGGUCACUUCGUGUGUCUGACUCUGCGGCCCCAUGGACUGCAGUGCGCCAGGCUUCCCUGUCCUUCAGUAUCUCCUGGAGUUUGCUCAGAUCCACGUCCAUUCAGUCAGUGGUGCCAUCUAACCAUCUCAUCCUCUGUCACUCCCUUCUCCUCCUGCCCUCAGUCUUUCCCAGCAUCAAGGUCUGUUCAGUGAGUCGGCUCUUCCCAUCAGGUAGCCGAGGUAUUGGAGCUUCAGCUUCAGCAUCAGUCUUUUCAGUGAAUAUUCAGGGUUGAUUUCCUUUAGGAUUGAGUGGUUUGAUCUUGCAGUCCAAGGGAUCCUCAACAGUCUUCUCCUGCACCAUAAUUAGAAAGCAUCAGUUAUUUGGCACUCAGCUUUCUUUAUGAUUUAACUCUCACAUCCAUACAUGGCUACUGGAAAAACCAUAAUUUUGACUAUACAGACAUUGUUGGCAAAGUGAUCUCUCUCUCUCUCUCUUUUUUUUUUGAUAUCUCUGUUUUUUAAAACACAGUCUAGGUUUGUCAUAGCUUUUCUUCCAAGGAGCAAGUAUCUUUUCAUUUCAUGGCUGCAGUCACUGUCCGCAGUGAUUUUGGGGUCCAAGAAAAUAAAGUCUGUCACUGUUUCGAUUGUUUCCCCAUCUCUUUGUCAUGAAGUGAUGGGCCUGGAUGCCAUGGUCUUAGUUUUCUGAAUGUUGAGUUUUAAGCCAGAUUUUUCACUCUCCGCUUUUACUUUCAUCAAAAUGCUCUUAAGUUGCUCUUUGUUUUCUGCCAUUCAGUGGCGUCAUCUGCAUAUCUGAGGCUAUUAAUAUUUCUCCCUGCAAUCUUGAUUCCUACUUAAACUUCAUCCAGCCUGGCAUUUCACAUGAGAUAUUCUGAAUAGAAUUUAAAUAAGUAGUGGCAACAUACAGCCUCGAUGUCCUCCUUCUCAAUUUUGAAGCAGUCUGUUGUUGCAUGUCCAGUUCAAACUGUUGCUUUUUGACCUGCAUACACAUUUCUCAGAAGACAGAAAAGGUGGUCUGAUAUUCCCGUCUCUUUAAGAAUCUUCCACAGUUUGUUGUGAUCCACACAGUCAAAGGCUUUAGCAUAGCCAAUGAAGCAGAAGUAGAUGCUGGAAGUUGAGUCACGUCUUUUCUCUUUUUGGCUUCUAUCACACAUACUGGAAACCUUAUAGGUACUAGAUUCUUAACAUGGAGUGACUCGAUGACUUAUAUUUUGGUUCCCUCUUCCUUUUAAAGAUGGUUUUUGGAAAGGGCUAGAAAAGCUGAGUCUGUUCAGUUCAGUCCAGUCGCUCAGUCAUGUCCGACUCUUUGUGACGCCAUGGACUGCAGCACGCCAGGCCUCCCUGUCCAUCACCAACUCCCGGAGUUCACCCAAACCCAUGUCCAUUGAGUUGGUGAUGCCAUCCUCAUCCUCUGUUGUCCCCUUCUCCUCCUGCCCUCAAUCUUUUCCAGCAUCAGGGUCUUUUGCAAUGAGUCAGCUCUUCGCAUCAGGUGGCCAAAGUACUGGAGGGAGCUUCAGCUUCAAGAUGAGUCCUUCCAGUGAACCCCUAGGACUGAUCUCCUUUAGGAUGGACUGGUUGGAUCUCCUUGCAGUCCAAGGGACUCUCAAGAAUCUUCUCUAGCACCACAGUUCAAAAGCAUCAAUUCUUUGGCACUCAGCUUUCUUUAUAGUCCAACUCUCACAUCCGUACAUGACUACUGUAAAAACUAUAACCUUGACAGAUGGACCUUUGUUGACAAAGUAAUGUCUCUGCUUUUUAAUGUGCUGUUUAGGUUGGUGAUAACUUUCCUUCCAAGGAGUAAGCAUCUUUUAAUUUCAUGGCUGCAGUCACCAUCUGCAGUGAUUUUGGAGCCCCCCAAAAUAAAAGUCAACCACUGUUUCCACUGUUUCCCCAUCUAUUUACCAUGAAGUGAUGGGACUGGAUACCAUGAUCUUCGUUUUCUGAAUGUUGAACUUUAAGCCAACUUUUUCACUCUCCUCUUUCACUUUCAUCAAGAGGCUUUUUAGUUCUUCUUCACUUUCUGCCAUAAAGGUGGUGUCAUCUGCGUAUCUGAGGUGGUUGACAUUUCUCCCAGCAGUCUUGAUUCUAGCUUGUGCUUCCUCCAGCCCAGUGUGUCUCAUGAUGUACUCUGCAUAUAAGUUAAAUAAGCAGAUGGUGACUGCAGCCAUGAAAUUAAAAGACGCUUACUCCUUGGAAGAAAAGUUAUGAGCAACUUAGAUAGUAUAUUCAAAAGCAGAGACAUUAACUUUGCUGACUAAGGUCCGUCUAGUCAAGGAUAUGGUUUUUCCUGUGGUCAUGAAUGGAUGUGAGAGUUGGACUGUGAAGAAGGCUGAGCGCCGAAGAAUUGAUGCUUUGGAACUGUGGUGUUGGAGAAGACUCUUGAGAGUCCCUUGGACUGCAAGGAGAUCCAACCAGUCCAUUCUGAAGGAGAUCAACCCUGGGAUUUCUUUGGAAGGAAUGCUGCUAAAGCUGAAGCUCCAGUACUUUGGCCACCUCAUGCGGAGAGUUGACUUAUUGGAAAAGACUCUGAUGCUAGGAGGGAUUGGGGGCAGGAGGAGAAGGGACAACCGAGGAUGAGAUGGCUGGAUGGCAUUAUGGACUUGAUGGAAGUGAGUCUGAGUGAACUCCGGGAGAUGGUGAUGGACAGGGAGGCCUGGCGUGCUGCGAUUCAUGGGGUCGCAAAGAGUUGGACACGACUGAGUGACUGAACUGAACUGAACCAGUUAUUUUUAUAUUUUUGCAAAAACCAAGUAAUAGAGAAGUUUGUUAUGAUACCCAUGCUUCAAAUAUUGAUACUGUUUUUAUCUCAAUAAAAGUAACCUUUUAACCAUUUCUUCCACAUUAUUUGAUAAAUGUUAUUGAUUUGGAGUGUUUUUAAUGUUUAUGAACACAUUGAUUUUUGUUUAUUGAGUUUUAGAGUUAAAUCCUGGUAAGGAUUUUACUUUUUAAAUACUGAGGCUGUUUGUGUAUGUUUUGUAGGGAAAUGAAUGGCUUUAAAAGCAUCAAAAUAAAGACUUAAACACUAGCAUAUAUGAAAUAUAAAUAAAAUUAUGUAAUAAUAUCAUUUUAAUGUCAGCCUUCUGAUUGUAAUAUUUUUGAAGGAGCCACUUCAUGUUGUCUUUUUACCCCCCUAAUUAUAUUGAGGUUUCGCCCCAGUAAUGUCUUUUUACUUAAAGUUACACACCUGAGUUAAAGCUGUCAUAGCACCCUGUUUCAGGUUUCUUUUUUGGCACUUGUCAUCAUUGUAAUUAAAUUAUAAUUUGUAUAAACAUUUUUUUAAAGAUCUGUUUCUGUUUUUAGAAACUGCAAAGCUCGCUGUGAGGAGGGAAUGUUGCUUGGCUCCUUGGCUCCUUACGUGGGCCCGGCACAGGGUCUUGUCUAUCUCACAUGCUUAGUAACAGCUUUGUGGCAGCAGCCAGUGUUCUCUGUUUGAGUCGUCUUUAAUUAAUGAAAAAAACUUUGGUUUUGUAUUUUAGUCUUUUCAGAGGCCCUGGAUAGAAACAUAUUAACCAAAAAACAGAGCUGACUUCAGUUUUACUUGUCUUGAAAAUAAGACAAGUAUAGCUAUUUCAGUGAUUGCCAAAUCAAUGAAACUGAAGAAUUAUUAGGAGUUGAAAUUAAGGUUCAGCUGUUUUUUCAAAGGAUAUCAACCUUCAGUACUUUUACUUUGCAUUUUUAUUACUGUGAUUUAAGAUGGUUGUAGUUAUUCUUGAUUGAUGAUACUUGUCAAAAGCAAGCCUGACCAGCUAGUUCUCCUGGAUUCUGAGAUUCAAAACAAAAACUGAGAGGCUUGUGAGCUGCUGUGAGCUGUCUGUAAAGUGAGAUAAUAUGCUGCACAAGGUUGUUUAGGUUUUAAUAAAAUAUCCAAGUGUGAGUGCGUAGUGAUAUGCGUGGCACGCGACUGGUGUACUGUAAAUGUUAAUCAUCUUGUAGGUGUAAGAAAAUGACCCUUCACAAGAGUAAUUGUAAAUUUAAAGAUGAAUUUCUUUUCCAUCCCAAACAAUAUUAAAAUGCAAAUUUGGUAUAAUACUGUAAAAAAGAUACUUAAUGGCAAUUAGUGCGAUUAAAUAAAUAUUAGCCUUGCUUUGAAUCUCUGAAUGGGUGUAUUACAGGAAAACUUGUGACAUCCUUUUUUGGAGGGAAGAAUUACCUAAAAACAAGAAAAAUGCGAAAAAAAGCAGAACCACUGAUUCUUUAACCUUGAAGUUGUAAACUGGUUGUCUGUCAGUUAGAUUUGACUUACAGGCAUGUUAUACUUAGCUUACACUAUAUUUUUUAAAUUAGUUGAAACAAAGGUGGGAGGUUUCACAAAAGUAAAAUCCAGCUCUCUGGCUUAUUUUUAAAAACUGGAAGAUAGGCUGUGUUGGACUUAUACAUUCCCUAAUUGCGACCAUCAGUGGAGGUAAGGAGAGGAUACUCUUGACUGUCUGUGUUGUCUCCCCAAUCCUAAAGUGACAGUGCUUUUUUGAUUUUGUUAAAAAGGAAACCUAAAAUAGAGCCACUUGUGUUUUAAGAAAAAAUAAGAAAGCUUCUAAUUCUUUGUGAAAAUAAAGAACAUUUCUACAUGCAUCUGUCAAAGGUCACAGCUUAGGACUACUGAAACAAUCAUCGUGUAAGAACUGUGGUUAAUAUCUGUGGAAAAGGUGUGUAAUGAAACAAACUCAGACUUCAACAGGGACGUUUUUAAAAAAUGAGAAUAAAAUAAAAUUAGUGAUGCUACUGUGAGAAAAAAGCUUAUAUAUUGUUAAGAGAAAUUUCCUCGGCCUAAAAUCUCUUAUGUAUGUUGAGUUAGAGUGUUUAGAGAGCAAAGAAAUGAGAAUGUUUUAAGCAGCAGUAAUUUGGAAAUAUGAGUUUAUAUGGAAAUAGUGUGUGUUAAAAAUAAAAGACUAAGAAAUUUACAAGGCAGCUUCUACGAAAACACUAAAUUACUUCUGUUGAGGUUGAUGUAAGCACAGAGAUAAAUAUCACCUAGUUAGCUCUAGUCAUUUUGAUAUUACUUCCUUGGUGGCUUAGACUUGGAGAAUUUUGACUGUUUCUCCUCUCUUUUCUUCAAGUAAUCUCUUAGUGCAGGCUUAGGAACAGUCGUCUUCCAGCCUUUGGCCAGGUCGCCACAUGCAUCCUGGAGCUGUCUGCGUGCUGGAUCUUCUCCGCCUUUCCUUCCCUUCCCUUGACUGUUUAACCUGCCUCAGUCAUCAGUCUACCUGUUUACCAUGAGGAAUGUCUCAAAAACCAUUUGCAAGUGUCAUUGAUGGCUUCCACGUGCCAGAUUUUUUGUCGUCAUCGUCAGCUGCUCAGUGGUAUUUGACACAGCUGACUCCUCUGCAUGAACUCUUAUCUGCUGUAGUAAGAAUCUGUUGCCUUUCAAGUCUUGCAGUGAAGUCCAGAUGGUGACUGAGGCACGUACUCAGCCAGGGCUGAGAAAUGAACUCUUGCUGGUUUAAGCCCUUACAUCUAAUCCCUUAAGUCAUGUUAAAUUCAGUAUGGUAACUCAGGUAUUCUACUUUGUAUCUAACACUUUAGGCUAAUUUUCGAAAGGACAAAAAAGAGGAUUUCAAAAGUAAAAAUAACCAUGUUAAAGAAUAUGAACUCCAUUAUGACUACUUCUUUCCGCCAUACUGCAAAUGCAGAUGUUUGAAUGCUGCUGCUGCUGCUGCGAAGUCGUUUCAGUCGUGUCCGACUCUGUGCAACCCCAUAGACGGCAGCUCACGAGGCUCCCCCGUCCCUGGGAUUCUCCAGGCAAGAGCACUGGAGUGGGUUGCCAUUGCCUUCUCCAAUGCAUGAAAGUGAAAAGUGAAAGGGAAGAUACUCAGUCGUGUCUAACUCCUGGCGACCACAUGGAUUGCAGCCUACCAGGCUCCUCCAUCCAUGGAAUUUUCCAGGCAGGAGUACUGGAGUGGGUUGCCAGUACCUUCUCCAGAUGUUUGAAUGAGUGUGGUAUAAAGGGAAGGGAGGAGAAUCUAGGAACUUGACAGUAACUGUCAUGUUUAAAUAAGCAUUUUUUCCCCUGCAGAAUGAAUAUUUGCUUACAACAUAAGUUGAGGUGCGAGUGAACACUCAUAUCCAGCUGGGUCUGAAGGAGAAAAAAAAAGUCCUUGUAGGUAUUUAUUCCUUCACCUGGAAUAUUAACUUUGAUCAAUUUUAAAAACUUAGCAACCAUUUUAAUAACUUGAUGCCAAAUUAAGUAAGUAACCCACAUUUUAGAUAUUUUCCAUUUUAACUGAAGAUAAUAAACACAGAAAUGUGGGGGAAAAAAGCAGUUAAGUACUUUCUCUUACUCAGAUAACCUCCUAACUGUUACAGAAAAAGCCAGUUGUCCAAUCACAUUAGAAAAUUGUUCUCUUUAAAAUGAAAUCAUAUGGGUAGAAUAACUUCUGAUCUUACUGCCCUAGCCAUAACUCUUGAAGCAUAAUAAUAAUUAUAAUAGUGUUAUAGACGUAUUAAGAUACCUGCAUAAAACAAAAAUUUACACCAGCCAUUUUCUGUAUGGUUUCUGCUUUUGAUGUCAAAUUUAGAAAUUCCUUCCCCAUUGCAAUAUUUUCAAGUUCUUUCAUAGUUUCACAUUUUACAUCUUACCCUUUCAUUUUUCUGGAAUUUUGUUGCAUGAGGUAAAAGGAUCCAAUUUAGUUUCCCCCCAAAUGGUCAGCAGAUUUUUUUCAACACCCUUAUCCAUUUCAAAUGCUACUUUUAUUCAGUUCAGUUCAGUUGCUCAGCUGUGUCUGACUCUUGCAGCCCCAUGGACGGGAGCAUGCCAGGCUUCCUUGUCCAUCACCAACUCCCGGAGCUUGCUCAAACUCACGUCCAUUGAGUCGGUGAUGCCAUCCAAACAUCUCAUCCUCUGUCGUCCCCUUCUCCUGCCUUCAAUCUUUCCCUGCGUCAGGGUCUUUUCUAAUGAGUCUGCUCUUUGCAUCAGGUGGCCAAGUAUUGGGGUUUCAGCUUCAGCGGCAGUCCUUGAAAUGAAUAUUCAGGACUGAUUUCCUUUAGAAUGGACUGGUUGGAUCUCCUUGCUGUCCAAUGGCCUCUCAAGAAUCUUCUCCAACACCUCAGUUCAAAAGAAUCAAUUCUUCGGCACUUAGCUUUCUUUAUAGUCCCAACUCUCACAUCCAUACAUGACUGCUGGAAAAACCAAAGCUUCGACUAUAUGCACCCGAGGAGCUCCAAUGGCUCAAUCAGUUAGUGCACAGUACUUGUAAGACCAUACGGACCUUUGUUGACAAAGUAACAUCCCUCCUUUUUAAGACGCUGCCUACGUUUGUCGUAGCUUUUCUUCCAAGAAGUAAGCAUCUUUUAAUUUCAUGGCUGCAGUUACCAUCUGCAGUGAUUCUUUUUUUUUGGAGCCCAAGAAAGUAAAGUCUGUCUCUGUUUCCAUUGUUUCCCCAUUUGUUUGCCAGGAAGUGAUGGGACCAGUUGCCAUGAUCUUUGUUUUUUGAAUGUUGAGUUUCAAGCCAGCUUCCUCACUGUCUUCUUUUAUAUUGAUGUAGCUUUCAGUAUAAUUUAAUACUUGGUAAGACAAAUCCUUCUUUGUUACUUUUCCAGAAGUUUAGGAUACUCUACAGUUUAUUUUUCCAAAUGUCUUUAGAGUCCUUUCUGUCUGAUUCCAUUCAAAACCAUGUUAACAUUUAUUGGUAGAUUUGGGUAGAAUUUAUAUCUGUACAGUCUGUAGUUUUCUAACUCAUAAAAUGAUACACUCUUUAUUAGUCUUAUUUAUUUUUAGGUGAUGUGAAAGAUUUUGUAAGCUUUUGUUAAUAUAUGAAAAAGUUGUAUAUUUAAGCUAUUCAUAUGUUUAACUCUUAGUUUUAAUAAUUUUACAUUAAUUCUAAUGGGAAAUUUUUAAACAGUGUAUCUUUAAAUAAAGAGAGCUUUGUUAAAUGAACUUUACUUGUGGUUUAGAUGACAUUAAAAGCACUUUUAGGGUAGUGCAUUGAGUUUGGCUAGUUUAUAUCACAUGAUUUUUUUACAGUGCAGGAUAAAUGAUGAUUUCUUCAGUCUUUAUUUGGUGAAUAGUAGUGAAUAAUUCAAACAUUUGUGUUCUUUAAACAUCUUUAUUUGGUGAAAGUAUAAUCUCAGAUGUCUGUGAAAAUAUAGUAGCCUUAUGUCCUGUAGGUGGUUUUUGUUUGUUUUACUGUUUAAAUUCUUUUGUUUGUUUCUGCUUAGGAUAACAGAGAAUUAUUUUCUCCCAGCUCUGGAGGCUAACCAGCCAAAAUGAAGUUGUUACCUGAUCCGUGAACCCUCUGAGGGUGCUAAGGAAGGCUCUUUCCUAGGGCUCUUGCCUGACUCCUUGUAGCCUCAAGCAUUCACUGGGUUGUAGAUGGCCGUCUUCUUGUCUCUCUUCACAUGUUUUAUAUAAAGUUUCCCUCUUUAUAAGGACACAAAUCAUAUUGGAUUCAGGUCCACUCUAAUGACCUCAUUUUAAGUGAUGACCUCUGUAAAGACAAUAUCUCCAAACCAGGUUAUAUUCUGAGGUACUGGAGGUUAGGAUUAUAACAUGUAAACUUAAUACGUUUAUGUUUUUACUUUUUAUUUUGAAAUUGCGUCUUACUUAGAAAAGAUGCAAAUAGCACAGUAAAACUCUUGUAUACCAUUUACGUAGAUUCGUCAAGUUUUCAAAUUUUCCCACAUUUGCAUUGUUCUCUGGUUCUCUGCCUCCUUUUACCUAAUCUACAUGUACACAAUUUAUUUUUGAUGAACUUGUUGAGAGAGUGAAGUUGUGUAUAUUUUACCCUUACUAUUUUAGUUUCUGUUUUCUAAAAAUAGUGAUAUUCCCAUAUGUUCACACUUAGGUUAUGGAAUUCAGGAAAUUUUACUUGAUACAAUACUCGAAUCUGUUACACUUGUGUCUGCUACCGCUAUCUCAAGUCUUUAAUGUUAGACUUUCUCUCCCUUCCCUGUAGUAGAGGAUUCGGUCUGGGAUCACAUAUUGUUUUUGUUGUCAUGUCUUUUUUAACCUGGAACAGUUCCUUAGUUGUCCUUUGUCUUCCAUGACAGUAACAUUUUUGAGAAUGUAAGCCAGUUAUUUUACACAGUAUUCCUCGCUUUGGAGUUGCCUUUUUCUCAUUAUUAGAUUUAGGCGAUGCGUCUCUGGCCAGAAUUCUACAUAAAUGACAGUGUUUCUUUUCUCAGGCUGCCCCAUUCGGAAGCAUGGUAUAUCUGACCUUACUUGUCAUCAGUAGUGUUGAUUUUAAUCACCUGGUCAAGACGUUGUAUUUCCCUCUUUACAACAAAGAAACAAACUGUGGGGAGAUACUUGAAUACCAUGCCAGUUUCUUACUUCCCAUGAAAUUCUCUACUCCCCCUCUAGAGGUAACUGGUCUUUGCUAUUUGUAAGUUAAGUCAAGUCGGUCAGUCGUGUCCGACUCUUUGCGACCCCAUGGACUGUAGCCCAUCAGGCUCCUCCGUCCAUGGGAUUCUCCAGGCAAGAAUACUGGAGUGGGUUGCCAUUUCCUUCUCCAGGGGAUCUUCCCGACCCAGGGAUUGAACCCAAGUCUCCCGUAUUAGAGGAGAUGCUUUAACCUCUGAGCCACCAGGGAAGCCCUUGCUUUUUAUAGUGGUAUGGAAAUUUUCCAGUUUCAUCACUUACUGGACACUAAUCAUUUUGCAUGGCUUCCCUGUGGCUCAUCAGUAAAGAAUCUGCCUGGAAUGCAGGAGACUCGGGUUUGAUUCCCGGGUCGGGAAGACCCCCUAGGAGGAAAUGGCAACCCAUUCCAGUGUUCUUGCCUGGAUAGAGGAGCCUGGCAGGCUACAGUGGGGUCACAAAAAAGCCAGACAUGACUGAGUGACUAAACGCCAACAGUAGCAAUCAUCCUGCCUCAUUCUGUAGGGCCCCUUACUGCCUUACGUCUGUGUCUGUCCAGCUGUAUCAGUAUGGACUAAUGGACUUUAUUCAGUGGGUUAUAAUCCGGUACAGCUCUUAUGUUCUUUUGUUGUCAUUUGUAUUUAAUUUUUUUAAUUUAAUGGAAUUUUAAAGUUAACUGUUCACUUACAGUUAGUAAAAAAAAUUGACUAUAUUUUCAGUGUUGUGCAGUGCAUCCUUGAGUUUAUCUUACACCCACUAGUUUGUACCUCCCACUCUCCCACCCCUGUGCUGGCCCCCUACCCCAGCUCCACUGGUAACCACUGGUUUGCUCUCUGCAUCUGUGAGCCAUCUGCUUUUUUUGUCGUACUCACUAGUUUGUUGUAUGUCUUUAGAUUCCACAAAAAGUGAUAUCAUAUAGUAUUUGUCUUACUUCAUUUCACAUAAUACCCUCCAUGUCAUACAUGUUGCUACAAAUGGCAAAAUUUUGUUCUUUUUUAUGGCUGAGUAGUAUUCCAUUGUAUAUAUGUAGCACAUCCUCUUUAUCCGUCCAUCUACAACCUUUAUGUGUUUUGAGGUUUGUAUCGUUCCAGGUUCUGAAAUUGGGAGUCCCUUCAUCCUGGCUCUGGUGUAUUUUCGAUGUGGCCUUAUCGUUUCUGUGUGCUCUUCUUUACUUUCUGACAUACUAGUGUUCCAGGCUCAUGUUGGACCUUCUGUGCCCUUAUCUAUGUCUCUCAGGAGGCUAGGUUUCUCUAAAUGGAGAAACAACAUAUGGAAACCAAGAUACGGGCAUUAGUUUUUUUCAUUGGUCCUGGGUGACAUUCACAAAUUCAUUUACACUCCAGUUGGAUAGGCAUAAGCCAAAGUAAGUUUACUGGUAUUUCACCAACAAAGCAAAGAAACAAACAACGUCUUCUGUAUUCUGUGGGUUAAUGCAGAUAAAUUAUUCUCACCGGUCAUUUGCAUUUUAUUUUGUUAGAAUUCGACUGAAAAGAUGUUGACAUUUCUUCAAGGAUUGUGUCACUGCAUUUUUCUAGUUGCAGACUGUGAUGAUAAAGCCAAGUGUGCGUCUCCUUCUGAGUGAGUAAAGCGCGCUGUGGCUCCUAGAGCUUCGCCAGCCUUUUCUUAGAGCCCUCUGUCAAUCGGCAACAGUGUCCACAGAAACCUACAACUUGCAUCCCAUCUAUUUUUGAAAAUGUGUACCUUCAUUUUACUUAGUUCAAAUUAUUCUUAAAUGUCCCUUGAGAAUUCUUCUUUGACCCAUUUCCUAUUUAGAAGUGCAUUGUUUAAAUCUCCAAGUAUUUUGAGAUUUUUCGAGUAUCUUUCUGUUUUCAGUUCUAGGUUAAUUCCUUGAUAGUCUGAGAAGAGAUAAUUGUAUGAUUUCUGUUCUUGUAACUUUGUUAAGGUGUGCCCCAGAAUGUGGCCGGCUUUAGUGAAUAUUCCAUGCAAGGGUAUGGAACUCUAGGUUUUCUUUUUUUUCCCCUUCUUUUGACGUUUUAAAUAUCCCAUUGCACUCUCUUCUUGGCUGCACGGCUUCUGUGAAGGCCAGUGUGAUUCUCACCUUUGCUUGUCUAUAGGUAAUUGUUUUUUCCUUCUAUUUCCUUUCGAGGUUUUUUAUGGAACACUCUGUUUUCUGCAGUUUGAAGUGAUGUAUAUAGGUGUAGUUUUGGUCCCUUGCCCUGCUUGGUGCUCAUUGACUUCCCGGGUCUGCAGUUUGGUGUCUGACACUAACUUGGAGAAAUUGUCGGUCAUCGGUGUUUGAGGUGUUCCUGUCCUUUUCUUUCUUCUUCUUCUCCUCCUUCUUAUAUUCCUUUUACGCAUAUGUUACACCUUUUAUAGUUGUUCCACAGUUCUCUGACGUUCUGUUAUUUUGGGUCUGGUUUUUUGGGGAGGGUUGGUUGUUUACGUUUCAGUUCUGGAGAUUUUUCCUGACAUCAUCUGCAAGCUCAGAAGUGCUUUUCUCAGCCACGUCUAGUCUACUGAUGAGUUCAACCAAGGCACUUUUCAUUUUUGUUAGUGUUUUUGGUUUCUAGUAUUUCAUUUUGCUUCUCUCUUAGAAUUUCUCUCUCCCUGCGUAUGUGACGCACCUGUUCCUGCAUGUUGCUUACCCUGCCCCUCAGAGCCCGUGGCAUAUUAUUAAGAAUAGUUGCUUCAAGUUCCCAGUCUAAUGACUCCGUCAUCUCUGCCAUAUGAGCCUGGUUUCUGAUGUUUGCUCUGUCUCUUCACUGUUUUUUGCCUUUAGUGUGCCUUGUAGUUUUUUUCUUGCCAAACCACAUAGAAUAUACUGGGUAAAAGGAAUUGCUGUAAGUAGGCCUUUAGUAUUUGCCAACAAAGGUCUGUAUAGUCAAAGUUGUGGUUUUCCCAGUUGUCAUGUAUGGAUGUGAGAGUUGGACCAUGAAGAAUGGAGAGCGCCAAAGAAUUGAUGCUUUUGAACUGUGGCGCUGGAGAGGACGCAUGAGAGCUCCCUGGACUGCAGGGAGAGCAGACUAGUCAAUCCAGCCUGAAUAUUCACUGGGAGGGCUGAUGCUGAAGCUGAAGCUCUAAUGCUUUGGCUGCCUGAUGCAAGGAGCCAGCUCAUUAGAAAAGACCCUGAUGCUGGGAAAGAUGGAAGGCAAAAGGAGAAGGGAGGACAGAGGAUGAGGUGAUUCGGUAGCACCACUGAGUCAAUGGACAUGAAUUUGAGCAAAUUCUGGGAGACAGUGGAGGACCGAGGAGCCUGGCAUGCUACGAUCAGUUGGGUCCCAAACAGAUAUGACUCAGUGACUAAACAGCAGUUGUGGGGUUAAGGUGUGGGGUGAGGAAGUGUUCCCUGGUUAGGUCUCUCUCUCGGUGAUCCUGUGCUUCUGGACUAUAGAUCUCACUUUUCUAGUGAGCUUUUGUCUUUGGACUUCGAACUUCACAAGUGCUUCUUAGUUGUUUUACAAUUCGAUUUUAUUUCCCCUUUCCCUGACAUGGAAGGCUAGACGGGGCUAGAAUUUGCUGUUUCCCUUCUUGGCUCGCUAGACUCUGAAGAAACGCAAGUUUCAACUCUGAUCAAAUAGUUUUUCUUGAAAGGCAAGUCUUGUUAAGAAGAUACAGAAUGCUCUGGCAUAUUUCAAAAUGGUAUUUUUCCUGUCCCCUUGUUUAAUCACAUCUUUUCCUCCACUGUUCACUGUGAUGACCUGGUAGAGCUGGAGGUUAAAAAAUUCACAAAUAUGGGAGUCCCCCAUGACUGGGUCACUUAAAACAGUUUUUAAAAUACUCAGUUACCUUCCUGUCUUCUCUGAAGGUGAUUUUCCUCCCCCCCGCCCCACCUCCCGUUCUUUUCUGUUGUUAGGAACUCAGUGGAUCUAAACAGAUUUGAUGGGAUUCUGUCCAUUGCGAUACUUAGACUCAGCUUUCCCAUCUUUGGCCAUUAGGAGUCUUCAGUUUGGCUCCGGCGUCCUUUUGACAUGACUCAGAUAGUCCCUGAUUUGCUUCUUUACCUUUUAAAAUAAGACAUUCCAAGAACAUCUUUUAAAUUUUCUGCCUCAAACAUGGAAUAUCUCCAUGAAGCCUGGCUCAUUUCACUGGGAAAUGAGACUUCACAGUCACCAUCUGGACUCCAGGGGCGCUCAUCGCUGCUUACUUGUCCUGUACGUCCAGGCCUUUUCAGUGGAUCACGCGAGAAACAGAAGCUGGGGAAUCUGGUUUUCAGUGUUACGAGAGUGGUAAGAGCAUUCCAUAAUUGCUCAUUUAUUUCAUCACCUGUUAUAUAUCUGACAGCUUCACAAUGAUAAAACGUAUACUUUAUCAACAGUAUUACUGAAAAGAGUUAAAAACAAUUUUUUCAUAUCUCUCCAUUUCUAUCCUAUAGUUAGUUACACUGUAUACAUAUUAUCAGGUCGUAUAGCUAUUAAUGUUAUAUACCACUCUUUUUUUCCUUUUCAUCUUCAUUUAGUUUACAAGUAACAAUUAAUGCUUACUUCCAGUCCUCUUGUUAAUGUUCCUCUAAUCUUGUUAAUUCUUUGAAGCUUAUUCUCUGGAUUUCUCUAGACUCUUGAGAACAGAAUUCCCUGGGUUUUUAUAUGAUGAUAAUAUAUAUUGUUUAUACUUGAAAAUUAGUUUAACUGGCUAUAAAAUUCUUGGCUCUUAUUUUCUUUCCUCGAACAUUUUACCUUUUCUUGGCAUUAAAAAAAAGUGUUGCUUUUAGGAAAAAAAUU